rnacentral:rRNA from 1 species
UACAGAGGGUGCGAGCGUUAAUCGGAAUUACUGGGCGUAAAGCGCGCGUAGGGCGGCUUUGCAAGUCGAGUGUGAAAUCCCCAGGCUUAACCUGGGAACUGCAUUCGAGACUGCAUGGCUAGAGUAUGGGAGAGGGAAGUGGAAUUUCAGGUGUAGCGGUGAAAUGCGUAGAUAUCUGAAGGAACAUCAGUGGCGGAAAGCGAACUUCCUGGACCCAAUACUGACGACUC